rnacentral:lncRNA from 14 species
ACAGCACUUGGGAGGGACAUAUGGCACCCAGAGGACACUUGGUGGAGGACAUGGCACCUGGGAGGGACAUAUGGGAUCACAUGGUACCUGGGGGAGAGGGACAUGGCACAUGGGGGAUAUUCAUGGUACUGAAGGGGGACACAGUACCUGGAGGGCACGUGUGGCACUUGCGGGGGGGAAAUGGCACCUGGGGGGACACGGCACCCAGGUGAGACACGUGGCACAGGUGUACCCAGGAGAUACAGCACCGAGGGACACGGCACACAGGGGACAUAUGGCACCUGUGGGGGGACACAGAACACCCAGUGGACACCCAGGACAGGUGCUGCUGUGCCCCUCCUUCCAGUGGGUGACCCCGGUGUCUCCCCAGAACCCCCAUCGCAGUGGCAGGUGCUAUGCCAUGCGAGGGUCCGCAAGAGGAGAGCCGGGACUGUGCUGAGGGGCCCUGUCCGGCCCUGUGCCCGCGGGAGGCUGGCAACGGGAGCCUGGGGGAGAGCUGGAUGCAGGGACCCUGCCGGCAAUGGUCAGUGAAGGGACAGAGGUGGGGUGGGGACAGGGAGAUGGGGACCCGGAUGGGGGCCACCGCAGUCCCACCAGCCACCCACCCGUGUCCCCAUAGCACCUGCACCCCGAGGGUAUUCAGUGCCAGGACACCCCCUGUGACAACCUCUGCCUCUGGGGGUCGUGGGGGCCCUGGGGACCCUGCCAGGACCCCUGCAGCGGUGGCUACCGCCUGCGCCAGCGCCGGCCCCAGCACCGGGCGGGUGACCGGCAGUGCCACGGUGCCCGUGCCCAGACCCAGAGCUGCAACACCGCUGCCUGCUCAGACGAGGGGUGUGAUGAGCGGGGCCGGGUCUUCACUGUAUCCUGUGCCAACCGGUGCCCCCGUGCCUGCGCUGACCUCUGGCCCCACGUCGAGUGUCUGCAGGGACCCUGUGAACCGGGGUGCCGGUGUCCCCCAGGACAGCUGCUGCAGGACAGGCUGUGUGUGCCGGUGGCCCAGUGCCGCUGCGGGCUGCCCACUGCCAAUGGCACCCAGGAGCUGUGGCCAGGGCAGGCAGCCGAGCAUGGCUGCCAAAACUGCACCUGCAGGAAUGGGACCUUCACCUGCCCAGCACUGGUGUGUCCCAUCUAUGGGCCCUGGUCCCCGUGGAGCCCCUGCUCCCACAGCUGCGGUGGUGGCAACACCUCUCGGCACCGUGAGUGCCAGGAGAGUGCUGGGGGGGAGCCCUGCAGUGCCACUGACACUGAGGAGAUGGCUGUGUGCAACCUACAGCCCUGUCCUGGUGAGUGCCAGUGUGGUGGGGUGAAUGCUGUAGCAAUGGUGAGACAAUGGGACAAUGGGACAAUGGUGGGAUGGUGGAAUGGCAAAACAUUGGAACAGCAGGAUUACAGCAGGCUGAUGGGGG